AGGCGAUUGGUGUAAUGGCAGCACAUAAGAUUUUGAUUCUUAUAGUAUAUGUUCAAAUCAUAUAUCGCCCA
rnacentral:tRNA from 2 species